ACUCACACUUCCAGAUGGGCCCCAUCCACCUCGAUGAAACAAAAGUAUGUUCUGUCUGCCAGGUAGGUCCCGCCGGAACGGAUCCCCUGCUUCUUCUACCGAAAUCGUUGCUUCCGACGCACCAGGGCCGCGCGCCGCCGGCGACCUUGCCGUGGCCCUUCUACAAAACCGACCCGCGCCGGAGCUCCGCCGUCGGAUGUGGCGGAGACGGCGUCAAUGGCGUCCUCCUCUGCUGCCGAGUCCAGCUCCCGCCUCUCUGAUCGAGCGAGGAGGUCGGCGCUGGGACUCAGAUUCAUGGUGCUCCUGAUGCACGUGCUGUUCGUUGGCGCUGUCUUCAUCCUCGAUCCGACCCUCGACUGGCGAAUCCACGGGGAGCCGUGGUAUAUAGGGUUGUAUGGAGUGCUUGUUCUGCUCACGCUAGUGCAAUACUUCUAUACAGCUGGCUCAUGUCCAGGGUAUGUUAUUGAUGUAAUGAGAGCUGGUUCCAUGAUGCAUGCAACCUUCGUCAACACUGCUGCUCUUUCAAAUCAAAUUCAAGAAAUGGAAACAUAAAUUCUCCGACGAGUCGUGCUCAACUACAGAAACUUAGCACGAUGACUCCUACAUCUUCAUGGGCACAGAUGGUUAUGGAUCUUUAUCCUCCAGGGUCAAGCAGCAGGGAUUGGACUUGCACUUACUGCAGGAUUGUUCAGGUAUUCUUGUAUCCUCACGCGCUAAAUGUUCUCUAAGUUUUACAAGUAAGUAGGAAUUAAUAUAGUUUUGUUAUACAAAAAUUGAGUUGGUUGCAUGAGUUAUUAACUUUGAGUUAUGCACCACCAAUUUGUUUGACUAAAAUUUAAGAAUAAUAUACAUUCAAUACAUCCUUCAAAAUUUACCAAGUCUGUUAAAAAAACUAUGUAAAAGUCUGAAAUGAAUUUGUGGUAUGUUUGAUUAUAUUUGUCAGUGUAGUUAAAGUUACUAGAAGAUUUGCUCUUCACAUCCUUGAUUGGCUAGUGGUUUAUUUACCAGUUUGUGACAUUCAAAGAUUCGUUUCUGAUCAUGAAGGUUAUUUGUGCAUUAAGAAUCUUCUAAAACUUAAUACAUUGAUUGGUUGAUGAGUAACUGAUUCGCAAUGCAGCGGGCACAGGACCUCUCUCUUAGAAAAGUAAACUUAUGCUAUCUUAUUUGCUCAGAAUUGUUCCUCCAAAAUCUCAUGGUUUCAUGCUAAUUUCAUCUAUUAUGUCUUUAGAAAGUUUCCCAUACCUUGUUGCUUCUGAUAGUCAGAGUUAAAGUUUUGCUACCAACAUCUUUUUGCAGCCACCUCGCACCCGACACUGCCAUGACUGUGAUAAAUGUGUCCUUCAAUUUGAUCAUCACUGUAUAUGGCUUGGAACAUGCAUUGGCAAAAGGAACCAUUGUCGUUUUUUGUGAGCUUUUAAUGUGUUUUCACCUAUAUGUUCCAUUCACUUGCACGUCAGUUGUGGUGUGAUGUGUUAUAAACUCACUGUUUGCGUACACAGCCGUUUAACCCACGUACACAGCGGUUAUUUGUGUAAAUGCUACAGUGGCUUAUUGUGUCCAUUUAAUCAGCCAUUUAUACCGUUUAGCCCAAUUAAAUAGCCAAAAAGGUUGUGACUGUUUAGUCAUUUAAAUGUUUAGGCUAACACUGUAUAAACUACCAUACUUGUUGCGGAAACACUAUAGUUAUUUCUUUGAUUCGGACACUGAUAAACUUUCUUUGGAGUAUCUAUAGAUGUUUUCCAGAGUUGUAGUUUUGUGACUGAAAGUACAUAUUGAUCAGACCAAUGUUAUCGAGUAUUUACAUUGUGCACCAUUAAACAGAUAGAACAUAAAUGCCACUGAGUAUUUCAGAACCAACACCCCUCCUCUUGUAAUAUAAUGAUUUACCUUAUUUAUUGACAUAACAUAACUACUGCUUCUACUACUUUAUUGUGAAUUGUGAUUACACAUUGAGACUUCCAUGUUGUCUCUCGCCAUGCUGUACGAUUGCAGUAUGAUACUAUUGUUUUAAUCUCUUGGUUCUUAUGGUUGUAUAACCGCCUUUACUAGGUGGUACAUAUUUGAAGAAACAAUCUUGUGUAUCUGGACUGCUGCUCUCUGCAUCGAGUCAUUGUGUUUAGAUGUGGACAAGGCCUGGUGGAAGGACUUUGUUGGUGUUAUCCUGUUGGCAGCGCUUAUCCUUAUCCUGAUAUUCCUACUACUAUUGUGGUUAUUUCAUUCGUACAUUGCUCUAACAAAUCAAACAACCUACGAAAUUGCCAGAAGGAAGCGAAUAUUCUACCUAAGGGGAGUCCCUGAAAGAGUUCUUCCAUUCAGCAAAGGCAUAUGCAGAAAUCUCUACGAUUUCUGCUGUUCUAGCCAGAAGGGAUAUAUUCUGGAAGCUGUGCCCCCAAGUGAAGAGCUGGAAGCUAGAGCUGCCCGUUACACGUGCCGAGAUGUCAUUUGCUGUCGUUGCUGCUGAUAGGUUGUACCAUAGCAUUCUGCCCGUAUAGCCCAGUUGCGCUGUUCUCUGUUCAAGGUUAAGUUAAUGGAAGCAAAUUUUAGUGACCUGCGACCGUUAGAUGCCCCCAGAGUUCAUUAUUUGUGCAUAGUCAUUUGUACAUUUCACUCAGAAAAAUGUGCGCUCUGAGAUCCAGUUGUUCACAUUCUGUAUGGCUUUGAAUUCAAAUAGGUUUUCAGGACAGAGAACUGAUCUGUACUUCAGUUUUUUAGUCGAAAUGUGUGUUGGUAAUUUAUUUUAAGAUUUUCUUAUAUUUAUUCCUAGCCAUAUA